CUCAGGAUGAACGCUGGCUGUGUGCCUAAUACAUGCAUGUCGAACGAAGCACUUGUGCUUAGUGGCGAAUGGGUGAGUAACACGUACUUAAUCUGCCCUCAAGUUUGGGACAACAGUUGGAAACGACUGCUAAUACCGAAUAUGUACUACUACCGCAUGGUAGUUUUAUAAAAGGAGCGUUUGCUUCGCUAGAGGAUGAGAGUGCGUCGCAUUAGUUAGUUGGUAGGGUAAAGGCCUACCAAGACGAUGAUGCGUAGCGGGGUCGAGAGGCUGAACCGCCACACUGGGACUGAGAUACGGCCCAGACUCCUACGGGAGGCAGCAGUAGGGAAUUUUCCACAAUGGACGAAAGUCUGAUGGAGCGACACAGCGUGCAGGAUGAAGGUCUUCGGAUCGUAAACUGCUGUUAUAAGAGAAGAACAACACUGGUAGGAAAUGACCAGUGCCUGACGGUACCUUAUCAGAAACGCACCGGCAAACUAUGUGCCG
rnacentral:rRNA from 1 species